CGAUGAGCUCCAGGUUUUGGAUGGAAUUCCCGAUCUCCUCCCCGGUGAGACAAGCGAUGCCGCUCCUGGAGUACGAGUCCUGGAGCUGCAGCACAGGGAAAAGCCAGGAGUUUUCAUCCAGGUGUUUGCAGCUGUGCUUCUCCUGUGGAGCUGGAACCUCACAGAAAGGUGCUUGCGAGCCAAUAACUGGUGCCAGGAGCUCCUUCCCAGUGCUGCCAGUGCUUCUACACCCUGGUCAUGACAUGAUUAUUGCCACAGUACAUGGACAUCAGGAAAGUCAUUGUGGCACUUUGGACUCCUUCUGCUUUAUCAGGGUUCAUAAAUUCCUAAGAAUGAAAUUUCAUCUGAGAGAGUCGUGUGAAGAAUCAGUUCAAAAGUGGCAAGGUAAGUAGAAUCAGUUCAAAAGUGGCCAGGUAAGUAGAAUCAGAUCAAAAGUGGCCAGGUAAGUAGAAUCAGAUCAAAAGUGGCAAGCUAACUAGAAUCAGUGCAAAAGUGGCAAGCUAACUUGGAUGACGACUCCUGCCUGCUGAAGGAAGUUUUUGUGGCUAUUCAUUCUAGCUGUUUAGGGAGGUCCUAUCUCAUUUGAGGGAGUUUCCUUUCAAAAAGAAUAGAAACAAAAGUGAAAGAGAGCCAGGGCACUACAGAGCACUCUGGUCACAAUCAGGACUUGGUUUGGAUUCUGUGUUUUUUCGGCCUCUUCAUGGCUUUCUCUUGUUAACAGAAUUAUUUUGUAGGUUAACGUACCAACUGAGGAAAGAUUUUUUCAAGACCCAUAUAUUCAUUUUGUUGCCCUCUAUCAGGCAUGAUCUGUGUCCCCCUGACCAAUCAUUUUAAAUCCUCCAUGGGUAUUUCUGAUUUAAUACUUAUUUAAUUAGUGCCCGUCUUGCAAGGCAAAAUAAAUGAAGUUUGAUUUGAAAAGAGCAAUGGGAAGAGCACACUCAAAUCCAUCUCUUCAAAAAAUUAUGAGUUCACUAUCUUUCUGAAGAUUUAAGAUCUGAAAAUUUCAUUAUACAAUGACUAACAGUUUUUUUCCACACUGACAAAGGACAUUCCAAAAGUGAAACUCCAACCAUUUCUAGCAUUGAAUGCAUUGGAAAAUCUUUGCUACUUUCAAUGCUCACUUCCAAAUAUAAUUUUUGUCUCUAAGAAGUGUAAAUUUAUACUGAAAAUAAUUUUUUUUAAAGGUUCCAAGAGUGGAAAAUGAGUGUUUUGAAAUUUUGCCACAGUAAAGCUGGGGCACUGACACCAGUGGGAAGGAAGGGUGUUAACAUGCUUUUCAACAGAACCAAGUCAUGUGUGUUUGUGUAGUGCUAGACCAGGGCAUCUCCCCAACAAAACCUCUGAUUCUUCCUGGCUCCUUCAUCCUGUUAAAGCUUACUCAGUGAGCCAUUUAAUUAGAGAUAAACCUUAAUCUGUUCUGUGGACUUAGGAUGUGUCACUUGGCAUGUCAAGGAAACGCCUGGCAGGGGACCUGCACACUUGUACCCAGCAGUGUGACCAGCAGGAAUGUAAAAUGGCUCUGGAAAUGUGUAAAAAUGAAGGAAGAGUGACUUGAAAAAGUCCUUCAGUUCUCAUUCUUCAGUGAUUGCAGGGAUGGGGGUGAUGAAGAUGUUUUCAGAGAGGAUGUUUUCCAAGGCAGACAAAGCAGAGCUGACUUUCUGGUUCAUUGCAGUCUCAGCUCUGGAGGGAGCUGGGAGGAGAUCCAUAACACAUCCAUCUGCCUCCACAUCAUUUCAGAGAGGAAGAAUUGUCCCUGGCACACAGCAAAGCCUUGCUAUGCAAUCAACUUAAGCCUUGAAGCAUGAAAUUUCAUUUUCUUUACCAUUGGCUUCUUCUCAGCAAAACAUCUGUCACACACCUGUCCAUCUGGGCUACAAGACUGGACUGUCCAGAGGCUUGAGAGUGGGAAACACAGGUGUCUCCUCAGACCAGAGUGCACAGGAUUCAGGAAUCCCUUUCACUUUGGAUGAGGAUUCCAGGUGGACUUUGAGGGUUGUUGGAUCUUUCUACAGCUGGAAACACAAGCCCCUCAAAUUGUGCACUCUCCUUGGUGGAGCCACAGUUUCUGAACUGGGAAAAGGAGACACAACCAGGUCCUUGCAGGGAGGGAGAGGAGGCACCAAGGGGAAGGAAUGAGAAGCAGACUGCUUAAAAACCCUACUAAUCAGAUAAUCCUUGAACUUGGUAUUACUCCAGACCUGCAGUCUCCAUAUCUGUAUGGAUGUAGAGGUCUAUUCUAUUCCAUGAAUGAAUGCACACUCCUACCUAAACGUGCACACAGACAUUUAAAUAUCUACCUGUGCUAUUAGAUUUCAUAUACAGAUUUCAUUUUUCUCUGAAGACUACAUUAAUUGGAAUGAACAUUGCUGUUUGUAUAAGGGAAGAAAAGGAAGAUGUCACCAUGCUGGAAAGCCUCACCUGACUUUUCUUGGAAAAAGGCUUUGUAUUCUGUGAAAGAUACAGGAACCUGCCAGACAAAAUGGAAAACUCCCCACAUUAGGAUAUUUCAAAAGCAAUGCUGCAAUGAUCAAUAAAUGAAAGAGCAGGGGCAGAAAAUGGAUUGCAGGUCAGAAAAAAAAGAAUGUGAAAGGAAGGCAAACAGGAAUAAAAAAAGGAACCUGGACUUUUGCUGGCUAAACCAAAUCUCAAACAUACACAUAACCUAUAGACACAUAAAAAUGUAUACAUCAGAAUGGAGAAUGUGAGUUCUGCUGUUUAUCUUGAAGAAGAACACCAGCAGCACUGCAGGUUUGUCCACUCUUCAGCACCAGCAGAUGUGGUCACCAUUAAUCAUUUGGCAGAAAAGAAGUAUAGGAGGUGACCCUCACAGCCCACAGACACACACAAGUCUCUUGCCUUGAAAACAAUCAAAAAUCAGAAAUACAAAACCAAUGGUCCUGGGAAAAAUAAAAUAAAUCACAAGUAUAUUUCACUUUAUUUAUUUGUUCUUCAUUUUGAUAGCACAUCUCAAAUUACACUUGGUAAUGAGAUCUUACGAAUCUUUCCCCUGCUCUGGGACAAAAAGCAAAAACCACUCAUGCAUAAGGUAUUGAAUGCAUUCACAACAAGUAUGUUGUAUGUUGGGCUUUUGAACAUCAUAAAUAUGAGAACAUUAAACCAACUGUCAUUGGUAUUUUUUAACAAUAUAGUUGUUAAGAUCAUAGCAGCUUAAAAAGUUUAACUCAAGUUUACCUGCUUCCAAUAUUUUUAUUUUAAGUUUCUACUACAAUUUGGUAAGAGAUUAAAAAAUAUAGAGGCCCAAAUACUACAAAAUAAUGCUUUAAAGUAUUUCUAUUUAGUUUGUAAGUGUUAAAACUCACAAUGGCCUUUCUGCUUUGACUAGGAACGCAGUUCUGAAAUUACUUAGAUGAAGGUUAAGAAAUUCAACUUAUUUGUGAUUUUUAUGCAUCAUGAAACCUCUUGAAAGAGGCAUGGGCUUCCAGAAAUGUUGAACACCCAUCCUUUAAGAGGUCCUCAGCCAAAGAGACAGAAUCUCCAUCUAUUCCUGCAAAUAUUAGCCAAAAUACUGGGGACUCACUAAUAUAGUUCUCAGGUCCAUGAAAGCAGGAUAAGAAUGAGUACAGAUUCUGUUAUGCAAGUUGAUUUUGCUAUUUUGCCUUUUUUUUUUUCCUUAAAGCUGUCUUCUGAAUGCCUUGAUAGCCAUCAGGAACAAGACAUUUUUGCAAUAGAAGGAUAGAGUCUAAUUGUAGAAGGGGAAGAAAAGCUGCCUACAAAAGCCAAGAUCAUGAUAAGAAAACAAAUUUACUGAACAUCAUCUCUGAAAAGACUCUACCAUGCACAGGUGAAAUACUGCUACAAACACUUGCUCUGAUCCUACAUCAUGCCUUAAACUGCUUUGUGAAAUAACCAAGGGAUGAAGGUGCAAGAUGAACCCAAGGAAACACCUGGGGAUGUAUGAAAACACAGGAACAAAUCCAGGUGUUGUAACACGGAUUAAUCUUAAUCCCUUGCUACCAGGCAUCUGCUUUCUGUAACCCCGAGUCAGUUCUAGGAGCUUGUAGCAACACAGCUGGAAACAACCCUAAAUUUCAAAUUUGGGACAUGGGGACUGUGUGCAAAGGAGAAAAAAGCACAGGAGGAGGAAAGCUGGGCUGGGACUAACUCAGUUCAAGGGUUACACUGAAUUUAAAAAGACAGCUCUCUGUCUUUUUAAAACUGGAACUCAGACCUCUUUUUUUUGCAUGUUGUAGGAUCCCUCAGGGAUCUCUGCAGCUCUCAGGUAUUAAACCACAUGGCUGCAAGAUCAAAGUAGUCCAGAGCUUUGACAGAAGUAGUUAACAGUGUGCAUCACAUCCACGUGGUGCUGAGAUCUCGGCCAUCGCACCAGGCUGCUGACGGCUUCGUAAACACGUUCACUCCAGUUAUAAACUUACUUAUUUCUUGUGCCAAGACUUCAAUGUGCUUCAGUGCAUGAAGGAAAUUUACAACCCACUCCAGGAAUAUAUAUAUAUAUGUACAUAUAUUCCAGCUCUCCCUUUCAAUUCAGUUUAAAAAAAAAAAACAGCAGCAAUUAUAUUUUAGAUUCGUAACAGAUAUGUAUAACUUAGCUAUAAACAAAUGCUGAGCUAAAGCUUUGCAGAAAGCUCUCAGGAAAGCGAAUUAGUGUAAGAUUUUUAGGAAUAUUAACCAUUUUCUUCCAGUACCACAGUUAUACUAUGAUAUAUAAUCAUAGUAUGUCUACAUAUUAUACUAAUGACAGUGAGUAGAUAUAAAUUGUAUCUUUUCUGACAUGGGUUUACUCUUAAAAUGGGAAAUACAAAAAGCAGCCUGUUGUUAUAACUCAGUAUAGUGAUUUUUUUUUUUUCCUACUAUUUUAGUCAUAGUUUAAGGUCAGGUAAAUGUAGUCUCCAUACAAAGGGAAAGGACUCUGAGGCAGAUUAGUAACUUGUCUUUUGAAUAGAUAUAACUUUGGUUGCUGUCUAUUCAAAGCAUAGAAUCUAUGAAGUUGUGCUUAUGGGGAAAAGGAGGAAAGGGUUUAUAUCCAGAUAAAACGUCUGAAUUCCUCUGCAGUGUUAAUUGGGUUUCUUGAUCAAAAUUUAUUCUGAUUCAGAUUGUCACUUGGUUGGUCUAAUUCCACCAAGUCUUUGUACAUGCUAAAUGGAAGAACAAUCUGGGCCACUGCUGAAAAAGCUUUGCCUUGUGAUCUCUGUGUGAAGUAUGCUGGGAAUGAGUUUUGGCCUGCAUGACUGAGCUGACAUCCAGGCCUUGUCUCAUUAAUGGCUUUUCUUAAUACACACAACCAUGUUAAUAACGUGGUAUUUCCAGGAAGCAAUGAUUCAGCAAAGCCAUUCUCCUAUUUAAUUUAAAUCUCAGUGAAAGGGGACUGCUCUGUAUGUAUUCUAAAUGUCAGAAGGCAGUUUGAUCUACCAGAACCUGAUGGGAUUUUUUGAAGAACUUUUCAGAAUCCUGCUAUAAGGAAUACUUUAAUGAAAUAGCCUUUGUCAUGAUCUCCAAGGGCUAAGAAGCCUCACCUUAGGGUUCCUGAACCAGGACAAAGGGGAGCAAACUGCUCAGCAGGACCCAAGCCCAGCAGCAUCCCUGAUGUGGGGACAGGCUGCUCUGAGCUAGCUCUUGGAGAAAGAUGGGAAGUCAAAAGCAGAUUGGAGCUGCUGAGUGCCUGCAGUCACAUUCCCAUCCAUGAACUACACCCACGCCAGAGAAUUCAGCUUCACAGCUCCAUUGUGAGUAGGAAAUUACUGCCUCCCUUGCAGAAGUGGGGUGUAAGGAGAUGACCUUGUUCUCCUGGGGACCCACAGGAAGUCUGUGGUAAAACUGAGGAUGAAUUUUAUUUCCCACUUUCUCUGUGCCUACGGACUUUUGACACCACCUUCAUUUCCGCAAGCUGUGAGCAGCCUGGACAAUAGACAGUCACAAAGUGGUUUCUCUCCGGCCCUGCCUGUCUGAACUUUACAGACUGGCUCAAACUGCACAGAUUUGUUGCCCAGUAGCGAGAUCAUCUUACCUAGAGCAGUCUACAAGACAGACAAAGCUCAGCUGCAAAGCUCAGAAUUAAAUCUUCUGUAUAGACUGGAGCCCACUUCUAUUCGCUUGCUUUCCUCCUUUCAUGAAGCAGGAAAUACAAUAAAAACUACAAACACAAAAGAAAAGUCAAUGAACAAAAACUUCUACUAUUAAUUACAAACAUUAGUGCAAACCACACAGCAGACUAUUUGUAGUAAGGUCAGUAUUUUCUGUAAGGUCAUACAACUGAGGCUUUAAACACAGGUGAAGUCACAUUCUUUAGCCAAAUAAGUAGUCAGCUUUGAAGGUCACUCACACAGGAAACCUGGAUUCUGCUGCUACACAUCAUAUUUUAUCUUUGUGUGUAUGCUAUCACACAUUUUAUUGAAAAUAUAUUUAGUCCUGUACCUUUUAAAAAUAUAUUUAUUAAAAGGUGGUAAAGACCAAAUUCCAAAGCUGAAUUACAGGUUUGGCUAAGAGACUCAUCUAGCAUCGUUUUAACUGCCUAGAAAAGCUUUUUCAAAAAAUAUUUUUAAAAAUUUAAAUGAGCUGUUUGUCUAUGGCAAAAAGCCAACACCUAAAUCCAUGCUUGUCAUUCAAAUUCAUGGCCCUGCUGCCCAAGGUUCUCACUGUGACAUCAGAUGCUUAACACUGCUGUAAACUAGCUCACGUUUUUUACAUAUUCAGAAGUAGAUGUAGAUCUUAGGAUUUAUCUCACAUCACUUCAAAGCCAGGGCCUUUGUACCUAAUUAAGAGUCAAAGCUUCAAAGUUGCAGCCAGGCAAGAAUCCUGCAGUAAUCCUGAUCUCCCUGCUCAACACGUAUUUAUGUUUGGCAGUAGUCAUCUGGGACAAAGUAGAAAAAAGACUGGUUUGGAAAAAAAAUACUUCUCAAAAUUCUUUACUGGGCAAGGCCAAUGGAGCUAGAAAAUGCUGCAGUUAGUGGUUUUCAGCCGAACAGUGAAGUCAGAAUUCAGAAAAAGUGCACUUUUUGAUGUUUGCUCUUCCUCCAGAACAGACACCGCAGCCAUGCGCCCACCCUUCACAGGUUCUCAUCCAGCCACUUGAUGUAGCUGUUCCUGGUCUGCACGCCGGCCGAGAAAUCCGUGGGCCACACGGUGAAGAUCAUGCAGCCGUGGAAGCAGUCGUGGAAGUGGUCGAGGGUGACGGGCACGCCGGCGCGCUCCAGGCGCGCGGCGUACAUGGCGCCGUCGUCGCGCAGCACGUCGUUCUCGCAGAUCAGCAUGUAGGUGCGCGGCUGCCGCGCCAGCGUGGCGUCGUCCGCCAGCAGCGGCAUCGCCCGCACGUCCAGCAGCGCCGGCAGCCGCUCCACGAUGGCCUCCGUGCCCGUGCUCUGCACCACGGGCUUGUAGUUCUUCUUGAAGGAGGGAGGCAGCAGCGAGGUCCAGUUGAGGCGCGCGCGGAAGGAGAGCGCCCGGCCCACGUUGAGCGCGGUGUGGUUGUUGAUGAGCAGCUCGUGAGCCAGGUCGUAGUUGCCGUUGAUGUAAUCGAUCCAGUAGUUGAUCAUGACGUAGCGAGGGAGCACGGGCAUGUUCAUGUUCUGCUGGUACGAGGGUGUGUUGAAGUCAAACGCCUGGAGGACUGGAUAAAUCAAGGCCUGCAGUUUUGGUCUGACAGGUAAAUCCUCAUCUUUGCUAAGCUGUGCGAAAAACAUAGGGCAGAAUUAAGGUCAUGAAGAAGAUAAACAUGUAUCGAUGUAGACCUUUAGGUUUUAGAGUGAAUUCUGCUCUUAUACAGAUAAUGUGGUAGUUUUGUCUUAAGUAUAUUCCUGAUCUUUUUCUCCUCUCAUAAGGUGGCCAUUCAGGCAGAUCCAGCAUCCUGUUCCCAACAGAAACCAGUGAGAUAAGUUCACUGAAGGUAGUAGGAAGAAAAGAAAAGUGCUAAGUGGCAUUUCUCUAACACAGUGCCCUGCUGAACAAGUGGCAACAGCAGGAUUUCCUGAAUUAAAGAAGCUACUCUUGCUUUUAAGAGCUUUUAAUGGAUUUUUCUUCCAUGAAUUGAUCUAAUUGUUUUUUUUCAGCCAAUGCAGAUUGCUGGCAUCCACAAUUUCUUCUAGCAAAGACUCACCUGGUGCAGAAGCACCUCCCCGUGUCUGACUUGACCUUUGAUUUAAGUCUACCAAUUACAAAUUUGGUGCCCCUUGACUGCCUUACUGGAAUAGUCAGCAAACUCUUUGUUUCAUCUCCUACACAAGAUACCCAGUGCCCUAUCGUGUCUCAUCUGGUUUAAAAAGAAUUAUGCAUCAGGAAAUUGAAUUAGGAAUGCUCUUUACAAAACGUGGCACUAUCAUGUUUAUCAGUCCUCAGUGUUGAAGUUUUUAUUGUAAUUGUCUCAUUAAUUUUUCCACCCUAAUUCAAUAUUGCAAGGUUGUCAUGAUAAUUAGUUGUCUGGACAUGGUAUCUGCUUUCUUAUCACUAAUGGUUAUGGAAAUAAGUUAGUAAUAAUAAUAUUUCAUUCAACCGUGAAAAAUAUUACUUGCCUUGGGUCUCCUUUAAACUCUUUACUAGAUCAAAUUCAGAUUACAUUUAAACUGCAGAUAUACAAAAGAAAUUUCCUUAAAAUUGCAAAAUGCUACAGGAAGACAAUUUAACAGAAGAAUUAAGUUCCACUUACUGUAUAUUUUGUCCUUCAUUUGUAUUUGAAAGAAAUAAAAGCAUAUUUCUAGAGACAAUUAUCUAAAAAUAGGCAGCCAUAUUAAGAAAUUAUGCCUACUUGGAAAAACAAGGAGUUCACCAGAAAAAUAGGUUAAAAAAGUCGUUUAGCUACUUGCUCUUAAACUGUGGUCCAUAACAACACUGAAACAACACAUCACAACCUAUGUGAUUCAUAUAGUGACUAAGUCACUUCAUAGAAGGAAAACUAACAGAUUCUGGCUUUCUACCAUUCUGUUUUCAGGAGUGGCACAUCACCACCUGUGAUGGUGCAGCACAAAGACCCUGCCAGCCUCUCUGGCCUGGACUGCAGUAGUGCAAUAAAGAAAACUCAGUGGAUGUUACCUGCUGGCACACAGCAGCUGCCAAAUUCCCUCCUGCACUGUCCCCAGAGAUUGCAAUUCGACUGGGGUCCACUGAAUACUCAGCCAAGACAUCAGGCUGCAGGAAAUGCCUUGUUGCACGAAGAGCAUCGUGGUACUGCUCAGGGAAGCACACCUUGGGCACCAGCCUGUAUCUGCAACAGGAAAGGGAUGAGAAACAAUUCUUACCUCUGCCUUAUGGUACUGGUGUUAUUGUAACUCUCCUUUAGGAUUUACAGGUGAUAUCAGAUAACUCUCACUGGAAAUAGGUUAUUUCAUUAAGAUAAAUGGUACAGAAGAGGUAGGAGGUGUGUGAUACGUAUGUAAGACUUAAUCUUAUAAUUAAUGUUCUAAUUUGGAAAAAUUAAAAUGAACCUACUAGACAGAAAUAAUAACAAUAUAUUAUAACAUUGUGCAGCACUUUCCUAGAAUUUACAAUGGAGGAUUUCAUCAUGCAUUAUAAAAAUCAAUAGUUAUGACACCCUUGGCAAGGGAGUUGUUACACCCUGCCUGGUUUUAAUCCAAAUUCCCACCUUAACAAGGAUGAGGGUGAGUAAAUCAUACACACCCAACACGCUCCUGUUUGGCUGAGCCAAACACCUAAGCACUUCUGCUUCCCAAAUUUUUACUGAUGUCAGGAGAGAAUAAACCUUGCUACCCCUCUGUGCCAUGAAAUGAACAAUAGCCAAGAAAUUAAGCAAUGCCAAUUUUCUCCAAUGCAACAGAUGCAAUAAUUCCUUUCCUGUAUCAAGGAGAGGAGCAGAAAUACACCCAUUGGCCAGGUGGGGGAUGGAGGCACAGAGAGCAAACAGUCUGCCAGGAAGAGCCAGCAGCUGAAUCCCAAACAUGAUGCUUCCUCAGCUUCUAAAUAACAGUGCAGGAGAAAUCUGUUUGUGUUUACUGAAUAAUCUGACAUCCAAGGGUUGUUACUGGGCCUUAUGGUACACAGCAAAGUUUUCAGCUUUUCAAACUACAGAUUUUACACCUUCUCAGUAGAGCGUAGCCAACCAAAAUUCAGUUCUCUGACUCAAAACAUCUUUAGAUUGUAAGCCGAAGAAGUUUCAUAUGCAGAAUAAAUUUUUAACUUCCUAUUACAACUUUCAAGCUCCAAUUGUGACCUGCUGUCAGAAAGCAAUCUGUAUCUUGUAUAUACAGGAAUCUGAGGGUGUCCUUUGGGAGCUCCUUGCAAAACAGCGUAACUGUAAACUGUGCAUAGAUUGUGAAAGUGAGAUGUGCAAUUAGACCAAUGAGGAAUCCAAUUAGACUUGGCUAAUUGAAUACACACCCCUUGAUUGAAGGAUGCAAUGAUUGAGGAAAAGAGGUAAUAGUAACUCAGAGCAAUAGACAGAAUGACACCAGCAUAAAUCAGAAAAGGAAUAAUAAGGAACUUUUCAAUAUUGUGAUUGCUGCUUGUCUGGAAUAACCAACAGCUGCUUUUGUGGUUUUCCUUGUUUCUAAUAAUAAAAAACCAAAACAGUAGGAAAACAUAAACCCAUCCCCCCAAUAGUUUAAAGUACACUAUAAUAAGCAUUAAAUAAGUAACAUCAACUCCAUAUAAUUAAGUUGCAAUUAGAUCCCAAAGCUUGGUAUGUAAUGAACUGCAGGUGGGAAACUUGAGUAAUUUUAUCAAGUGGUUGGGUUUAAAAAAGAAAAUAUUGAAGCUGACAAUAAAGAUGGGAACAGUACCAAUCAAGCUGGAGUCGUCUAGGUAAUGUAUUUAGCUAAUCAAGAGGUUUGUUUGCCUUGGAAUUGUUCAACAUGUUAAAAAAGCAGCCCUGCUUCUCUGUUGUCUGGCAGUCUUCUGCUCUUGAGGGAAGCACAAGGCUUAAAAGAUAGGACUGGAACAGUGGGAGAUUGCAAGAGCAGCAGGAAAUUGCCAGACCUCACAGUGUAUUCUAAAAUAAUUAGAAAACCAAAUGAAUUUUUGAUACCACUCCAAAUUGUUUUAAUUUUUAAAGGAUAAAGGUAUCAGGCUAGUAUAGAAAAUUACUGUCCAAGUUACAGCUUUAUAGAGAAGCCACUAUGGAAGGAGAAGCUAAAAGAACUAUGUUACAGUUUUCUAAUACCUUAAAACUACUUGAUCAGUUUUAGAUUACUCACUCAACAGAGACAACAACAGCAUUCAGAGAUUCAGCCAUGAUUCUGCAGAGAUUGUUGUAAAGGCUUGUUCCUGGAAAGGAAGGACAUGGUGUUAGGGACAUGUGAGUCAACAGUCACAAAGCUGUCAUUAAGCUUUCUCAGAAAAGAUACAGCUAUCACACAGAUAGAGUCCAUCAGAUUUUACUACCAAAGUAAAUGAUAAAUGAGAUCAGCCCAUAACUGUUCAAGUGCCAAAUCCAUACUACAGCAGAAGGAACGUAAUUCAUCAGAAUUUCAGAAUCCUGCAGUCCAAUGCCUUUCCUCAUCUGUUUGUUGGUGACUUCAGACAUGUCAUUUCACCCACCUAUCAAGAUUUUCUCAGUUGGCCAAAAUCUAAGGCACAUAGUGGUUUGGGGGCAUUUACAUCCAGAAAGGGUUACUGCUGUAUGAGUUACUGCCUGUGGUUCAUUUAUUAUAGCAUGCAUUGCUUUAAUUCGAAUGAGUUGCCCUAUUAAUGUCAGCUGAGCUACUCAUUUAAGGGAGGAUUAAUCACAGCUAUCCUAUUUAUCUGAGGACUGAUUAUCUUUAAUUUUGUUCCUCUCCAGUUACUUAAUUGUUGGUUCCCAGUACUAUAAAAUAUACAAGGACAUGAAACGUUUUCCAAAGUAUCCAGUCUUAGAAAUUAGUAUUUAGGUGUAGCAAUUGUGUCAUUAACUUCUGCACCUUGGACUCAGGGAUACGUCUAACAAAGCCAAGCUAUAAUCAUCCUGACAAAGUGCAGCAAUUUAAUAUAAACUUUUGCACAAGAGUCAUAUGCAAACUAUUACAGAACAAAUGAUGCAGGCAGGAGGUUAACAAAUAUCCUUUAGGCAGAUCUAAGAAAAUCCAUCUCAAAGCACGAUUCCUCUGUAGGAAGAGGAGUAAAAUGUUUAACUGCUACAGGACAAAGAGACUGGAAUUUCCAAAGGCAUGUGAAGGCCACAUUUUAAAGUUAUUUAGGAACCUAAAUAUCACUCAAAUAAUUUAGACUUGUACAUCUAGAGUCCAAAUGCAAUCAGUAUAGUCUGUGUUUUGCAUUAUUUUGUAAAAAUCCACUAAUUUUCUUUGUCUGUAGAGGAAGCUGCAGAAUCAGGGCUUUAUGGACUACAGGAUGUCCUGGGAACAAUAGGGAAGGAAAAGGGAGAAGACUUUUCUCAGAUCUGGAUCUCAGAGCAGCCACAGGAGCCACAAGCCCUUUGUGUCCCAAGGCUGUUUUCCUCCUGUAUAAUGUGGAAGCAAUCAGUGGUCACCUUAUCACUACCUAUAGCUAUACCUCACUUCCCCUGAUCAUGUUUGUGGUUCCCAAGUUAAUGGAGUAAACAGCAUUAAAUUUUAAGGUAAUUAUGCUAGUGAUGGUGGUAGUGCCUAAGGAACAACCCAAAGAGGAACAAACCUCUACCUGUUUUCCCUCACACUCCUCCUGCCUCUGGUCAGCAGUGUGUAUUCCCAGAUAGGUGUUAUUUAAGAACCAAACAUUAGCAAGGCUGUUGCAUGCAGUGCAGAUCAGCUCAGAGUUCUGCUAAUUAGUCUCUGAAAAUGGGGCAAACCCACGUAAUUUCCUUAUAUGUAGCCACCGGAACCUGAUCACCAAGAACUGAUUUUUGCACAUUACCUCAGAAAGUAGAGGACUGGCCUGAGCAGCCCACCCUGGCACCACAGAAAUUUAAUCAAUAAGCUAUUUUUCCCUCUUAUGAUGUAAAAAAAUUAACCUUUUGGUCCUUUUACAGCUCACAUGCAGAUAAGAUAUGCACUUCUGCUGUGUGUUCAUAAUAUUUUUCUCCCUCUCUCCUUAGACUUGAUCCACCAGAGUGGAGACAGUCACUACUGAAUUCAAGUACAUCUUAGCAAAACUGCCAUUCCUGGCAGGAAAAAGAGCUUGUGGCUUUUCCUGCUAGGAGAAAAGCAGACUGAAAUCCUAUUUAAUUACUGUCAGACACCUACUUGCACUUGCCAAGGCCCAGCCCCCUCCGUGGAUGUAAACAACGCUGCGCUUGAGGCUUUCAUCUCCCUUGGCAGGAGGUUCAAACACUCUCACUUCCACGCCAUCAAAAACAGCAUCCGUGAUUUUAAUGUCUUCAGAGGAGACAGACUUCAGCUUGUCAAAGGUGCAAAUCAAAUAAUUCAGAACUAUCAAGUGAUGGCUGAGUCUCAGGUAGUGAAUCAGGUGACACUAGUGGGGGGAAAAGAAGAAAAGAAAUUUCUGUUACUUCAGAGCAUAUCAUAUUCUACCACAUUGAUGUGUAAUACAACUGCAUUCAAAGGGCAGGUUCUACAUGAUUCUUACAAUAUUCACUGGAAAAUUUAAUUUUAUCAAUAACCUCUUAUGUUUUUAAAGCUGUAUUAAAACAAAAAGCUGCCCAUAGAAGAUUUUCUGUGGAAAAAUAAAAUUAAACUAUGAGCUCUUUAAGGGUCACAGUCAUGAACAAACGCUCAGAUCCUCUGAAAGACUCCUUGGAAGGGAAUAACGCUCAUGUUCCACUAGGGGACCUACAAAGUUCCUCAGACUGGUGCCAGCAGAGGGCAAUACUACACAGGCGAUGUUUUCUGGUGGAAAAGUAUCAAAAAUGCAGAUUAUUUCUCUUGUUCCACUGCAAAGCAAAAGUCUUUCUACUUCCAAAUUAAGUAAAGUUCCCUAGGCCUGCAAAGAAAUUUGGAAACAGGAAUAUUCUUAAAGGAAUAUAAUGGUGUUUUUUGGCUUGUCCUGUGUUUACCUGCAGAACUGGGAAGGAUUUGAAACACUAGGCAAGAACAACAGUAGGUUAAUGACACUUUUUACCAACCCAAGAGACUCAAGUGUGUUACUUUUUUACAUGAUUAAAACACUAUGAAAUUGAAAAAUGAUCUGAUCCUUCUGUCUCCUUAUGGUAGGAGACAGAAUUUAUCUCCUUUAGCUAUGCAGGAUGUUUUUAAUGUUUAUUUUUAAAAUUUUUCUCUGGCUCGAUUAGAAAUCUGUUUUUCUUAGCAAACACUACAGGGAUUCAAGGCACUCCUCAACUUUGAAAUGGUCAUGACCUGCUCCCCACACAUGACCUGCUCACUAUUUGUAGUGCAUACUUGUUCCCAUGCCCUGGAUGGUGCAGCAGGGGUGGCAAAAGGCCAGCCAAAGGACCACAGGGACUUCAGUGUCCAGAAUGACCUUUUAAAAGGAAAAGUAGAGGAGGUUUUUCCCCUUUGAGCUCAGAAACUGGACAACCAGCAAGGCCUUUUAUACAACUUUCUCAGAAAAGGCAAUGGAGUUGGGAGGCAAAAUGAACACAUAUAUUUAACCUGUAGGAACACUGCCACUAGGAAAACUGUCAGCUGGGACCUUUUAUUUUAUGUCCAGGUACCAAAUACUUGGAAGAAGGAGAGGUGUCCUGUUGUAUAGGGCUUUUCUACACAUGCCCACUGUGCAGUGUGAAUUCUGCCAGUCCCACUAGUGCAGUGUAACCUGCUACAAAGAAUUCAAGAUGCUGACACAGAGUGAGCAGGGUCACCCAGGUACUGGUCUAACCACAUUCACCUGCUGAAGAACAGAUAGCUGCCAGUUUAAUCUGUACAAAAUCUGCACACAACCCCCCUCCAGAACAAAAGCAAGCUUUGAAGCACUCAGCUUCCUCUCUUCCAAAGAAGAUCUUACAGCCACAAUCUCUUACAUGUAAUUUUUUUCUCUGUCCUAAUUAGUUUGAAUGUUAAAAAAGUUGAAGUAUUUGCUUUCAUCCAGGUUUGGUACAGGAAAGGCCCUGCACAGCUCCCACUGCAGACUGCUGUAGAAAAAAAGGACAAGUUUGAUGUUUAAAAAAAACCCCAAAAUUUACACCAAAUACAACGGGCUCUUAUGUGACCUGGGAGAGAAACACACUUCCAAAACAAGAAUUUUUUAAAAAUUACUUUAUUUUCUUGUUUUAACUUGUGGUAACAUCAACCUGCUGAGAUGGUUUGGUAAGAAUCCAAAUUUUAAACUGUUUGCUGCUUUUUGGAUGGGACAUAACUUCUUCUUACUGCAAGUCUUUUUUCUGGGAGAAGAAACACGAAAUAUCCACCUGGCAGGAGCAAAUGCUGAAUUAACAAGGCUACUUGCAUCUCUGAGUUUCAGCCCAUGUUUUUUUCCUACCAUUACUUAAAAUUCCCACAGGAAACCCCAGGACUAGUUUGAAAUCUGAAGAGCAAUACAUCUAUUAAUAAUCUGGCACACAACUUGUUUGGCUGCCACUGAUGUAACCACAUAAAGGUCUGAUCCUCUCUGUGCCCUAUGGAAGUUCCCAGGGGAGGUAACCACUGCAAAACAGUCUUAGAAAUACUGCUCAAGAAAAGAAUGUUUUGUAGAUUUUAUUUAGCCUGUGCUGCAAUAGACAUCUCGGUUUUGUUUUCUCCCACUUAAGUUUGCAUUCUCUGUAGACAAGAUUACCACAUGUUCCCUGGAGUCAGGAAUGUUUUGUUUUUAAGGCUAGUUAGGGGUAUUUACCAAGAAGUGUUUUGCCCUGCUCUUCAAAUCACAGAGCAGCCUGGCCAUCUGCAGCCUACCAUGCCCUUUCAUGUCUAUUUCUCCUAGAAUAGACCAUGCUUUCCAAGAACCCAGAAACCUGGAAGAGAUGCUUUCCACAUCAGCACCCAAAGGCAACAGUCCUAAUUAUUUAUCAGGCAUGGGCGGUUUUUCUGCCAAGCAUUUAUCAGAUAGAUUCUCUGUUAGUCAAUCUGCCUAAUCAGCCUAUUGGCUUGUUAUUUACAAGGCAUCCGGAUUGUGCUUUUUGCUGGCAAAGAGCCAGUCUUGUACAAAGUUCUCACAAAUAAAUUUCUUCUUUUCCUAUCUGUAAAUAUUAAAAAAAGACCUAUCAUAUCUUAGCAGUCUGUACUAAUACUCCUGGCAGAAGAUGUGGUUGGCCAACUCUCCUCUACGAGUACCUUGCCACUCAAAGGACAGCCCUGCCCAUCCUGAUGCCUGUUCUUCCCUGGCAUCUUUCUUGUGGUGCCCCUGGAAGCUUCAGAGCAUGAUCUUGCUGCACCAGUUAAAUACAAACCCAGCAGAGCCAGAGGAACACUAAACUUCAGUCAUGUCACCACCUAACUGAUACCCCAAGGCAAGAAAGAGGAUCAGGAGAAAGGAUACCAGCCCUUUUGGCAGCAGCUGGAUCACCUUGAAUCUAGGAUAAACCUGGAACAGCUCAUCUCAUGUGAGCAAUAGUGGGUUUGAUCUUUGUGGGUAGCUGUGGUUUUUACCACCCUCCCAGUUACAACCUGCAGGGCUGCUGCAGGUGAUCAAAUGUAACACUUCAAUAUAUUUGGGGAUUAUGUGUAUGUGUGGAUGUGGAGAGAGAAGAAAGAAGAGAAGAGAAGAGAAGAGAAGAGAAGAGAAGAGAAGAGAAGAGAAGAGAAGAGAAGAGAAGAGAAGAGAAGAGAAGAGAAGAGAAGAGAAGAGAAGAGAAGAGAAGAGAAGAGAGAAGAGAGAAGAGAGAAGAGAGAAGAGAGAAGAGAGAAGAGAGAAGAGAGAAGAGAGAAGAGAGAAGAGAAGAGAAGAGAAGAGAAGAGAAGAGAAGAGAAGAGAAGAGAAGAGAAGAGAAGAGAAGAGAAGAGAAGAGAAGAGAGAGAGAAA